rnacentral:lncRNA from 1 species
CACAUAUACAUUUCGCUUCUUUCUUCUUUCUUUUAUUCAAUCAAUAAAUUAACAGAGAUCUUUGUUCGGGUCUUAAAAUAGAUUUACAUAUAAAUUAUCAUGUCGCUUGGUCUUUUUCCCUUUUAUUGUCCAACGGUUUUGGGUAGUUAAUCAAAUUCCCUAAUUCCAAACCGCCAUGUCUCAACUUAUAAAUGCUUUUGAUUCUCACACCUUUUUCCCAGUUUCGAUCUCUAUUUUUCUCAAAAUGUGUGAUAAUAAUCUUAGCGUUUUGCAAGAUAUUGAAUCUUGGCAGGAUGAAGAGCCAACUGUUGUGCCACCUUUAAUGUGCGCCGAAGCCGUGCGUUUGAAUCGUUUUUCCAUUGUUUGCGUUCUUGUUAACCCAGAGAAACAGAGUAUGAGUGCGUUGAUUAAUCAGAUGUUUUGCAUUUGGGGCUUAACUGAUGAAGUCAUUGGUCGGGUUAUUGACUCCAGGAAGUUCCAGUUUGUGUUCCAGACAGAGGAGGCCCUAAACAGAGUUUUGGAAAAAAGUCCUUGGUAUUUUGCUGAUAGGUCGAUCGUUUUGAAGCGUUGGGCUGCCACCUUUACUGAAGAAAGCUUAAAAGAAGGUUCAGUUCUGGGUUCAGAUAAGGGGAAUCCCUCCCCAUUAUCUAUCGAGAGCAAUAAUUGAUUUCGUUGGAGACAAACUUGGAGAAGUUGUUGACGUUGAAUUUGACGACUCAACAAACCUUACGGAUUAUGUUUGGUGUUGGUGAGAUUUACAUGCUGUCUUUUCGUUAUGAUCGUCUAAUGAGUUUCUGCAACAAGUGUGGAAUGUUGACACAUGAUGUGAAGGAAUGUCUUUUGCAUACUGAUGAAGAUGCAUGCAAAUGUAAAUUAAGAGAUGUGCUUUGUGGAGAUAUGUGGAAUAUUACUUCGCUGUAUUGAAUCUUAGAUCCUACAAAUAUACUCUCUGAAAUUCUAGAUAGGAAACAUUACCAGAGGAGAUCAAUGAGUUAUUGAGAAAGAAGAUAUGUUCUCUAGCCUCCUCAAAUGAAGCCUUGAAUGAAGAAUCCGGCUAGGAAGACAGAGGAGAGGGAACCACCGUACCAUCCCAGAUCUAACCUCCGCCGUCGCAAAAGAAUCACUCUAGAAACCGAAGAUGACAAGCUUCCGCCCCGAUGACAGACAAGCGAGAUUCCGACAGUGCCCUUGCCGUCCUCUAACGGAGACCAACCGUCGUCUCCCCGACGAGUCACCAGAGCAUGUCGCUCUCGCAUGGACCUAGACACUACCUAUCACCACCGACAAUAGCUAUUCCGUCUGUUGUAGCGCCUCGCAUGGGAGGGAGAGAACACUACCAUCGCCGGCUAGGUCACCGAACAAAUUGCAGCGCCUCCACCCUCGAUGAAACCGAGAAAGUGAGUUGGGAGAGAAAGUUUGUGUGCACGUUUAUUACAACCGCCACUCAAAGGCCUCAAUAUUAGAGAUCCUCAAUUAGGUUUAACGGUUGUUAAAACGGAUAAUGAUAUUCCAUAAUGAAAAAGAAUCCACAGAGAGACGGAGAAAUUUGAAGAAGAGAUGAUAAAAAAAACUGAAAGGAAAGAAGAACAAUGGUCAUUUGAUUUUAAGCACAAAAACAAACGAUGUAUAAAUUCGUUAAAAGAGUGUAAUUUUGAAAAGUUGUAACGUUUGAGAAGUGACGAUUCAAAAAGAAAGAAAACUAAAGAG